AAAGUUGGUAUCAGAGCUUAGGCUUUAGAUUCAUAGGAAAGUGUGUAACUAGAGUUGUCAUAUGCAGAGUAUGGGAUUCUAUUUCGUCUUUUUUUAUAAUUCCUUGUUUUUAGAUUUUGCAUUAUUCCUUGGAGAGUGUAAGAGUGCUUUAGUUUAGUGGUUCAAUUUUUGUGGAGUACAUGGUGAUGUGAGUUAAAGUUAGCAAAUGCGUUAAAGUUUGCCUUAGGAAUAUGUACUCCAAAAAAAUGUUGCGUUUCUAUCAUAGUAGGGCUAAAUGAUGUGCCGAUCUAAUGCAAGGAAUGAGUACAUAAAGGCGAGCUAUGGUAGUAUAGUUGCCUUAAAUAGGGGUGAGGCUAUCACUACUGGCAGUCAUCAGUGGAUAGCCCCGUCACAUUAAGUUUAUGCUAUUAGUGAGUUUAAGAGAGACGAGAGAUUAGGAAACCUAGUCUAUUGAAAUGCACCGUAGUAACUAUGUAAUGUUCUUAAUGUUUGUGUUGUAAGCUGCAGAUUACAAUAUUGACAUAGGAUUAUUGUAUAGAACUACGUAGCAUCCCUAAUGUGUUUCCUAAGGGUGUUUCCUAAUCGAUCACUCUCACAUGAGCUAGAGUUAUAUGAGGAGUUGCUUUAAGAUUAGAGGUUUCAGUAUAGUAAUAAAGUAAAGGUAGCAUUCACAGAGUGGGACCAUUUGGUCUCAGGUAUGGGAUCUUAGUUUUGUCAUUACAGUGUACUUUUACCUAGAGUUUGAUAAAGAUAGUACUCUUUGUGUGACAGUGAAAUGUAGAGUGUGGUUCUAAUUCCUAGAGUAGAUUGAAGGUUACGAAUACUGUUAUAGCCUAUGAAAAGAUGUUUUAGAAAAGUCUAUAGUAUAAUAAGAAAGCUGAUAGCCUUAUGUAGUUGUGGCAAUGUAGUAGAUAUGGUACCUCUUUUACCAUCAAUUGUGCUGCAGAGUAUGGUAAUAUCCUUCAAGAGAGAUAGCAGAUUACUACCAAUGUUGGUGACCUACAGAAUGGCAUCCUAGGUGGGAUUAUAGUAUGUGAUAGAGAGUUGUUGGCUCUAUUGUCCUAGAGGGGUACAAGUUUCACUGUAGGAAACAUAAAUCACCAAAUCAUGAUGGACAUAAAGUCUUUGAAUUUAAUGAUGGGUUUAGGUACCCAGUAUCUUAAGUUUUGGCUAAUUGAGUGGAAAUGGGAAAAUAGUAUCUUUGUAGAUCUCCUCCUCGAGGUAGUAGAGCGUAGCCUGUAGUCUAAUAGACAAGAACAAAGAUUGCGUAGUGAAUGUGUGACUACUAAUCCCUGAGUUCUUUCUUAGCUUCUUACUGCUCAACACAAGAGUAUGCUCUAAGCAUAGGAAAGGGUAAGGGCAUUAGGUCAACAAAGAUAAAUCAUAGGAUAUUAGUAGAUAGAAAAAGUGUAAAAAGGAAGGUUAAAAUAGUGGGUCCAAAUGUAACAGGAGAGAUAGCCUGAAUGUUAGUGGAAGCACUAGUUAGAGUGGUAAAAAAACCAAUUCUAAGUAACAUCGAGGUGUAGAUGACUUGGUAGAGACAAUAAAAAGAUACAUUUCCGAUAUUAUAAUCAGGUCAAGAAAGAGAAUAGAGUUAAAAAGUAAAAUGGUCAAAGUUCAAAUUUGGGUAAGAUAAAAAGGAGUUAGCUCAAAAACAAACUGAAAGGUUCAAAUUAUAAUAAGAUUAGGAAGAGUAGAGUCAAGAUACAGAGGAGGCAAAAUGCAGUUCUAGGAAAGUUAAACAAGGUAAACAAAAAAGUAAGGAUAGAGAGCGUAGAAAAGGAUGGCAUUAGGAAGAACAUUGUUAAGUUAUGGAACCCAGAAGUACAGGACUUAGAGCAGGUCAUAAUUGAUGUAGUGUUAGGAGCCUGAGCCUAGAGCUUAGAUUUACAGGAUUUGGGUUAGACCUUAUCUGUUUUCUACCCCCAAGGUAGGAUAAUGGGGCAAUGACAUAAGAACCCUUUUGGUUGUUGACAGUAUAAUGGAAAUUAGGUGAGGUAUGCAACCAAAAUAGGUAGUAACUGUUGAGCGUGUUGUGGUAACUUGAAUUGUAUUAUCAGAUAAAGAACCAAGAUCAGUAGGAAUAAGUUGGAUAAAAGUCAACAUAAGGGAUAUAAAUAUGCAAGAUGAGGGAUAAUGUCACAGAGGCUUGAUAUUAAAAUUUAGAGUGGUGAGACCUAGAGUCAAAAAUUGGAGUUAGACAUAUAUUUUCAGUGUGAUCGAUAGAAUAAUUAUGUAAAAAAAAAGAGUAAUAAUAAAUAAAUAAAUAAUACCAUUAUUAUGGCCUUCCUUGUUCCUUAUCUUUAUGCUCUUCUCUUGUUCCUCCAUUGGACCUCGCCCCAUUGCUGCUCCAUCCUAUUAUUCCCUUAAUUUAUUAAAAAAGAAAAACAAGAAAUAAGCCCCAUGCUGCUGUGAUUGGGCUCUGCGACGAAAGAAGAGGAGAAAGAUGAAAAGAGAUCACCAAGAAAGUUGCGGUGUUGGCGGUGGCAUUGCUGGGUAUGAUACUAAAUCUGGUAAUAAUAAAGGCGAAUCUUCGUCGUCAAUGGGGAAAGGAAAAUUAUGGGAAGAAGAGCAAGACCCUGGAGGUAUGGAUGAAUUGCUUGCUGUUUUGGGUUACAAGGUCCGGUCAUCGGACAUGGCAGAUGUUGCCCAGAAGCUUGAACAGCUUGAGAUGGUAAUGGGUACUGCCCAAGAAGAUGGGAUUUCGUAUCUUUGUUCUGAUACUGUACAUUAUAAUCCCUCAGAUCUCUCUGGUUGGGUUCAGAGUAUGCUGUCUGAGCUUAAUCCACCCAUGUGUCUUGACGCCUCUGGUAUGCUUCAAAAUCAACACGAUCCUGUUCUUGGUUCUUCCACAGUUACUUUCUCUAAUCCUCUAUCGCACAAAUCGGAAAUUUUUAGUGGUGAUUAUGAUUGCGAUCUUAGAGCAAUACCUGGUGUGGCUGCUUAUCCACAACCGGAUUCAAUAUCAGAAAGGGAAAAUAGCAGGAAGAGAAUGAAAACCUCACCUGGUUCUGAUACCAGUAAUGCUACCACCUCCAAUUCAAAUUCUACGCCGCCUCUCUUAGCUGAUGCUUCUUCUUCUUCGUUGUCAUCUUCCUCACCGCCAUCAACAAUUAUGAUUUCAGGCAAUUUAUCGGAGCCAAGUCGGCCGGUUGUCUUAAUUGACUCGCAAGAGACGGGAGUCCGUCUCGUACACACACUAUUGGCUUGUGCACAAGCAGUUCAACUGGAGAAUCUUAAGCUCGCAGAGGCGCUUGUGAAGCAUAUAGGCUUACUUGCUGCUUCUCAAGCCAGUGCUAUGAGAAAAGUGGCUACUUACUUUGCCGAGGCCUUAGCUCGCCGAAUUUACAAAAUCUACCCACAAGAAUGCCUCGAUCCUACGUAUUCUGAUGCUUUAGAGAUGCAUUUCUACGAGACCUGUCCCUACCUCAAAUUCGCCCAUUUCACAGCUAAUCAAGCAAUUCUCGAGGCUUUCGCCACUGCAAGUAGAGUUCAUGUGAUCGAUUUCGGUCUAAAGCAAGGGAUGCAGUGGCCGGCACUCAUGCAAGCUCUUGCUUUACGCCCAGGUGGGCCGCCGGCUUUUCGGUUAACCGGAAUUGGUCCACCGCAGCCUAACAACACGGACACUUUACAGCAAGUGGGUUGGAAGCUAGCGCAGUUAGCCGGGACUAUUGGCGUCGAAUUUGAAUUCCGCGGUUUUGUAGCCAACAGUUUAGCGGAUCUCCAGCCGGAAAUGCUCGACCUCCGGCCCCCGGAGGAGGAGACAGUCGCUGUUAAUUCCGUAUUCGAGCUUCACCGCCUCCUGGCUCGACCCGGUGGGAUUGAUAAGGUUCUUUCCUCCGUCAAGGCCAUGAAGCCCAAGAUUGUGACCAUUGUUGAACAAGAAGCCAACCACAACGGCCCGGUUUUUCUAGACCGGUUCACUGAAGCUUUGCACUAUUAUUCCAGUUUGUUUGACUCGUUAGAAGGGUCUGGGUUGGCUGUCCCGAGUCAAGACCUGGUCAUGUCCGAGUUAUACUUGGGGAGGCAAAUAUGCAACGUGGUGGCUUGCGAGGGGGCGGACCGAGUUGAGAGGCAUGAGACUUUGACUCAUUGGCGAACUCGGAUAGAAUCGUCUGGGUUUGACCCAGUUCACCUGGGUUCGAACGCCUUUAAACAAGCAAGCAUGUUAUUGGCUCUAUUUGCAGGCGGUGAUGGGUAUCGAGUGGAGGAAAAUAAUGGGUGUCUGUUGCUCGGGUGGCAUACUAGGCCACUUAUUGCCACCUCGGCCUGGAAACUCGGUGGUUAGUAAUAAUAAUUCAACUCAAUCAGGUGGUGAGUUAAUGUUAGCGAGUCAGUGACUCUCAAAACCUCGGGGUGUGUGUGAGAGACUUGACAGUGACACGGGAGAGUUAAGAAGUUAUUAAACCAAUCAAGUGUGUAAUUCUAGUACUUCAAUUUACGACUUUUUUUUAUUCUAAAUGAAUCUUUGAUAUUUUUUUUUAAAUAUUUUUCGAUC
rnacentral:misc_RNA from 1 species